GACGAACGCUGGCGGCGUGCUUAACACAUGCAAGUCGAACGGAAAGGCCCUGCUUUUGUGGGGUGCUCGAGUGGCGAACGGGUGAGUAACACGUGAGUAACCUGCCCUUGACUUUGGGGUAACUUCAGGAAACUGGGGCUAAUACCGGAUAGGAGCUCCUGCUGCGUGGUGGGGGUUGGAAAGUUUCGGCGGUUGGGGAUGGACUCGCGGCUUACCGGCUUGUUGGUGGGGUAGUGGCAUACCAAGGCUUUGACGGGUAGCCCGCCUGGGAGGGGGGCCGGGGUCCAUGGGCCUGCGGGACGGAGCAGUAGCCUACCGGAGGCAACAGGGGGGAACAUUGCAGAAUGGGGCGGAGCCAGAUGCGACAAUGCCCGGUUCGGGAAGCCCGGCUUUUGGGUGUAAACCGCUUUCGCCUGUGCCGAACCCUGAGUGACGGUAACGGGUAAAAAAGCACCGGCUAACUACGUG
rnacentral:rRNA from 1 species